rnacentral:lncRNA from 1 species
AUUAUUCUUAUCCUCAUCAUUCAUUGUAUCAUCACUUUCUUCAUCCUCAUUAUUCUUUUGUUCCUCUUCAAAAUCCAAAAUUCGUCACUUCCUUUGAGCAGCCAAGAACUCAAAUCUAGAAAGUACAAAUGAGAAAACUUCCUUCAUAAAAGUUAUUCAUUUACGUGAUUUAUAUAACAUGCUACAUUUUCACCUCAAUCCAAUUAGUACAGACUCCGAAAAGUUGGUAUGAUCACAGUAUGUUUACCAUUUUCUGAUUUCGCAGUAGUAUGCUAGGUUUCAAUAUGUUUCUAUGAUUUCCUGUACUCAAAUGACUUGCUUCCUUCAUCAAAGUUGUUCAAAAUUCUGUCUAUUAUAACAUAUCAAAAAUUUAGAUUGAUCUGACUUCUAUAACCAUCUUGGGAAAGUUUAGAGUGGAACUUGUUCAUUGAUUAUAUUGAAUUUCUUGUUAUAGAUGUGUACUUUCUCUCAAAUGGUUUGUUAUUUGUCAUUCAAUUGAUCAAAUUAGCCACCAUCAUCUCAAGUAAAUGAUUCUUUGAAGAUAUGAAGCUCAUCUUCGUAUUGUCUUUUUGAGUACUAGUUGUAAAUCAAGUAUUGGUUAGAUUGCCUCAAUGACAUAUAUCUCAUUCAAAGUGUGUUUCUAUGAAGUUCUAGAUUAUUUCGAUGUGAUCUUGUACCAAUUUCAUUCUAGGAUUUUGUUACAUCAAAAUUGAUAUCUCAAGGUUAUUUCAAAGUUGGUUUUGUGCCAUUUGAAUUUAAAUUGAGUUUUUUGUGAAAUUUCAAAGUAGAGACUAUGUUGUUGGAAUUGUUCUGAUUCUACAGCAUGCCAUGUUUUGAAUACGUGUUUGAAAACUUCCUGAACUUGGAUUUUCAUGAAAUUUUAGUAUGUUUUACUUUCGCGUAUUUUCUUCAAAUCUAGAAAGUUUUAUCCAAUUUGGUUGUAAAUUGAAAGUUUGAUGAGUUUUCAAAAUAAAGUGUACAAACCUGAAAAGAAAAAAAAAACACACACAUUCUGCAGCCAAGUCUAUUUUGGUUUCUAUUUUGACAUGCUUCCUUAACCCUAAUUUCCAUCAAAUUUUGACAUUUUUAAAUUUUUCUAUGUCUAGUUAUGUCCUGAAAUUUUUUACAUUUUUUUUUUAUUUAAACUCAAUAUUUAGUGAAUUUUCAAAGUUAAUGUGUUCCAACCUAAAUGUUUAGCAAAACUGAAGUUUUUGUUUUAAUUGAUGUUUUAAAUUUUCUUUAUGAGUCUAGAGCUGAACCACCUGAUUUUAAACAUCCCAAAGAGUAUAACAAUUAUAGGAGGGGAAUAGAUUGAUUUUUCCUUGACACUUGGUUCUAUGCUUGUUUGAACGUGAGGUUAAGGGAGUAACAAUCGGGUCGAACAACUUGUCAAGUUUAUUAUAGGGCUUUGAUCUGCGCCUGUAGGACACUUAAACGUGUUUUCUUAUUUUCAGUGAAUUUUAAUUAGUAAAUUAUCUUAAUUAGGUGUUCUACUCUGCAUACUUUCGAGGACGAACUCGCACAAGGUUAAGCUAGGUGGACAUGAGGUAGGGUUUCCUGAUUUCCCGAUGAUAGGGCUAUGUCAUUUUUAAUCUUGGUGUUUAUAUAUAAUAUUAUAAAUAUGAAUAAUAUUGUUGCUUUGCUCGAUAAAUAUUAUGUUAUGUGAAUGUUAUUAUUGAUGUUUCUCCAUGGUUAUUAUUUUUGACGUUGGAUGAAUAUUAUUAUUCAUAUGAUGAAGCUUGAAAUAUUAUUGUUAUCAUUUGUGUUAUUAUUCUGCACAGAUAAAUGAUGUUUGCGCUGCAUUACAUAUGCAUCAUAAAUACAUUGGUAAUUAGGGGUGUGUGUGUCGUUUGAGGUAUAUCUAAGGGGUGGGAGAAGGCUUUAGAUAUAUAUGAGUACAAAUGCGGAAUACAUUUAAGUGACGGGAGCAGGGCUUGAAUAUAUUGAGGUGAUGAGAGCAGGGCCUCUAAUGAAAAGUAAAAGUUGAGAAAUUUGUAAACAAAAGAAAACUGGGUUAAGGGACAUAUGGGCACUAGUUCAUAUUUUAGGGUAUUCGGAGCCACAGUGGUAAAACGCAUGGUAUGGGACAUGCAUGCUUGUUGCCCUAAGGUAUGAAUUAGUGGAAUUAGAAGGGAGUGAGUUCAUGGCAUCACCGCAUAUACAAAUUUAUUUAUGUGGUAUGGUUGCAUAAUUUCUGUAUCUUGUGUCGUUUGAUGCAUGACACUUUGAUUAACUGUGAUAGUUAACCUUGAGGGGUUUGACGGUACUCUACUGGGCAUUAGAAUGCUCAUACCCUAAUGGAUUAUGCAGGAUUCAAGACGAAGUUUGAGGAAGCGGGUUUCAACUAAGCUGCUAGGCUUUUAUUGUUUAUUUGUGUAGUUAAUAAUUGUAAGUAGUCAACCGUUUGAUAAAAAUCUUAGUGUGUAUUUAACUACGAGUUACUGUGACUCUAAUUUUGUGUUGUUAAUUAAAUUUGUAUUAUUUGUGGCUCUAUUUCUCAUCAUAUCAUGGUUGUAGGAUUUUUUUUUUCUUAUGACUAUGGUAUGACUCACACCGUGAUUCGAGAAUAUUCCUUUUUUUCGAAUCGGGUCGUGACAUUCGUAUUCCCAUUACUCCUCCACGUUUGUGGUGUGAUAAUGUCAGUGCAAUCUCCCUUACUUCCAAUCUCGUAUUUCAGUCCCACAAUCGUCAUAUUGAGGUUGAUUAUCACUAUGUUCAAGAGAAAGCCAUUCGCAAGGAGCUUGAAGUUGAUCACAUUUCGUCUACGGAUCUGCUUGUUGAUCUUCUAACCAAGGGUCUUUCCACUCUUCGGUUUUGCUAUUUACUCUCCAAGCUUCCCGUUCUUUGUUGUCCGCUCAGCUUGCAGGGGCGUGAUAAACCUUGUUAGGCAGUUACCAUAGUCCUGACUAGUAACGGGUGGUUUAAAGACAAUGAGUGCCAGCAUGUAAUUGUUUCUGCUGUUAUGAUAUUAUUAGGUUGUAAAUACAUUUUCGUUA